rnacentral:rRNA from 1 species
GAUGAACGCUGGCGGCGUGCCUAAUACAUGCAAGUCGAGCGAACAGACGAGGAGCUUGCUCCUCUGACGUUAGCGGCGGAUGGGUGAGUAACACGUGGAGAACCUACCUAUAAGACUGGGAUAACUUCGGGAAACCGGAGCUAAUACCGGAUAAUAUAUUGAACCGCAUGGUUCAAUAGUGAAAGACGGUUUUGCUGUCACUUAUAGAUGGAUCCGCGCCGCAUUAGCUAGUUGGUAAGGUAACGGCUUACCAAGGCAACGAUGCGUAGCCGACCUGAGAGGGUGAUCCGACACACUGGAACAUAGACACGGUCCAGACUCCUACGGGAGGCAUGAGUAGGGACACUUCCGCCAUGGGCGAAAGCCUGACGGAGCAACGCCGCGUGAGUGCUGAAGGUCUUCGGAUCCUAAAACUCUGUUAUUAGGGCAGUACAAAUGUGUAAGUAACUAUGCCCGUCUCGACGUCCCCUAAUCAGAAGGCCACGGCUCGGUACGUG